CCAUCGGUGGUUCAGUGGUAGAAUGCUCGCCUGCCACCUGGGUUCGAUUCCCGGCCGAUUCA
rnacentral:tRNA from 1 species